GCUCCCGGGCUUCGCGAGGACGCAUUUGCAGCCCCCUCUGCCUGUCCUCUCGGGCGGCCGAGGCGAAGGAGCCGCCUUUCUGGGGCUUCGUGGUGGUGUAUUUCAUAUUGGGGCUCUUUUCGGGGUUUGUAAUUUGGCCGUGGGUAGGUAAUUGGCUGGAGCAGGGCGGCAGGGCGCGGCAGCCAAUCAGCGCGCGGCUUCUAUAGGGCUUGAGUUAUUAGACGCUGAUCUCAAAACAUCGUUCAUCAGACACCAAGGAGAGGCCAACAGAUGAGGGGAGCCAUUUUUCUGCAAUGGAAUUAAAUGGCCAAGUGGGUUUUUCCUUUGUUGCAAAUGGGGAAUGCUUUUCCUUUGACUCCACCAUCCAGUUCAGGACGCCUCAGUGUUGUGUUUAACAUUUGUCAACAGGCUAAAGGACUCACAAUUGGAAGAAUGAAGAAGACUUUUUAAAAAGAUCUGGAUUUUUCCUUAUGACUUGGAAUCCAUCUUUGUCUUGUAUAACUAGGUCAUAGCACACCAUUAAUGUCAGCAGUUAACAAUUUUGAAUUCCAAAAAACCUAAAGCAGUAAACAGUCCUCAGCGAAGCCGCCUUUUGCCAACCCAACCCUGGAAAGUUUGCAGAAGUGGAAGGAGCAGAAAAUGCCAUGAGAGUGUAACUUACAAAAAGGCUCUUGGCUGGAGAAAGGGCGACGGCCAGGUAUCCCCAGAGUGAACCAUCCUCCUUUGGACAGCAGGAUCAGGCCUAAUUUCACUCUGACAAUACUCUAAGGGUCACCCGAAUUUGGGCAUAUCAUUUGGGGGCUCAUCUGGGAUACCCCCAAGCCCUCCAGACCCCAAGUCAACGGGUCGUCCCUGAAGCCGAUUGGUGACCUGGCCUGGCGCAACCAGAAAUCCUCAUAACUUUACUGUUUCUCCUUUUAAUCCUUUUCGCCACCUCCAGGAUACAGAUGGGCCAAUCUCAAAGCACUCCUCUUUCUCUCCUUGUUGCUAACUUCAGGGAUGUUAGAACCAGAGGACAGAAUUUGAGUCUAGACAUCCGGAGGGGAAAAUUAAUAACCCUCUGCCGCUCCGAAUGGCCAACCUUCGGCGUUGGAUGGCCAACCGAAGGAACUUUCUGCCUCCCUAUAAUUGCUAAGGUGAAGUCAAAGAUUUUUCUACCGGGUCGCGAGGGACACCCGGAUCAGAUUCCCUUACAUUCUAGUAUGGCAAGAUUUGGUGGAAAAUCCACCCCCUUGGUUGGCCCCCUUCCUGUCCUCAGGAACGUGUAAGGUCCUUGCCAUGCGGACUGCAGAUCCCCCAAAACCAAAGAUGCCAUCCGUGCCCUUGUAUCCCAUAUUGCCUGAUAGUCAGGACCUACUAUCCCUAGACCCUCCACCCUAUCAUCCCCCUCCCCUCGUACCCCAGGCCCUACCAGCACCAGCCGCCCCGCUAGUUGCCCCCCCUAGGGGAACCGGGAGGACGGGAAGCGGCAGCCGCGCCGGAACCAGGAGGACGGGAGGCUAUAGCUGCACCGGGCCCCAUUGAAAACGAAACUGACCGCGAGGGGCCAGCCGGCCAAACCCGCGGGUGCACUCAGCGUGAGCCAAACCCUCGCCUCCCCGACUCCACUGUGGCCCUACCCCUGCGGGAAAUAGGACCCCCAGAUGAAACAGGCAACCCCCGACUCCAGUAUUGGCCCUUUUCCACCAGUGACCUUUACAACUGGAAAACACAGAACUCUCGAUUCUCUGAUAACCCUAAAGACCUAAUAGCUCUUUUAGACAGUGUCAUGUUCACCCACCAGCCCACCUGGGACGACUGUCAGCAGCUCCUCCGCAUCCUGUUCACUACAGAGGAGCGAGAGAGGAUCCAAUUAGAAGCAAGAAAGCUGGUUCCCGGAGACGACGGUCAGCCGACAUCUAACUCUGACCUCAUUAAUGCGGCUUUCCCCCUAACCAGACCUCCACAGGACGAAUGGGACUACAACACGGCAGAAGCUGCCGAGACGCCCGAAGCCUGCAUCCAGGGAACCGAAGGUCUCCUGCGAACUCUGGGAACCUUAGGCUACCGCGCCUCAUCAAAGAAGGCUCAGAUCUGCAAGUCAGAGGGACUGCUGCUGAACCCCCUCAGGGUCAUCUUCACCCCCCCAACGGCCCUGAACCCAGCAUCACUGCUGCCAGACCCAGACAUGGGAACCCCACUUCAUGACUGCGCUGACAUACUGGCUCAAGUUUACGGGGGAGGACUUGCAGGACCAACCGUUAUCGGAUGCGGAUGCCAUCUGGUUCACCGAUGGAAGCAGCUCCGUUCACCAGGGACAAAGGUACGCGGGGGCGGCCGUAACUUCAGAAACCGAGGUGGUUUGGGCAGAAGCCCUAUCCCCCGGAACCUCGGCCCAAAAGGCUGAACUAAUAGCCAUAACCCAGGCCCUAAAUUAGGAAGAGACUGCAAGCUAACCGUGUACACUGAUAGCCGAUAGAUAUGCCUUCGCCACUGCUCAUGUACAUGGGGCGAUAUACAGAGAACGGGGGCUCCUCACAGCCGAAGGGAAAGACAUCAAAAGUAAAGAAGAGAUUCUAGCCCUGCUAGCAGCCUUAUGGGAACCCAAAAAGCUAGCGAUUGUGCAUUGCCCAGGACACCAGAAGGCAACCAACCCAGUUUCCCGGGGCAACAAUUUGGCCGAUUGGACUGCAAAAGACAUAGCUCGGCCCCCAGCGCAAUUACUGACCCUACAGCUGCCAGACCCCGGGCCCCGGGAAUUGCCCCCCAGCCCUGAGUAUUCAGAAAGCGAUAUUCAAUGGAUGAGUAAACUUCCUAUGACCCGAGUCAAAGAUGGCUGGUAGAGAGACUCCAAAAGCAGCAUUAUACUCCCAGAUAAACUAGGGUGGCAGGUUCUUGAGCGGAUCCAUCACAGCACCCACUUAGGUUCCCGGCGAAUGUUGGACUUACUGAGACAGACUGGACUAAAAAUCAGAAAUGUCUCCAAUAAGGUCGAUCAAGUAGUCACUAAAUGUACAGUGUGCCAACUCAACAAUGCGAAUAGCAAUCCUCAGGCAACGGGUAAGACAAAGAGGGAGCAGACCGGGGACCUAUUGGGAAGUAGAUUUCACUGAGGUAAAACCAGGAAAAUAUGGAUAUAAGUAUUUGCUAGUUUUUGUAGAUACCUUUUCAGGAUGGACUGAAGCCUUUCCAACCAAGAAUGAAAUGGCACAGAUUGUAGCCAAAAAGAUCCUGGAAGAAAUCCUGCCCAGGUAUGGUUUUCCAGUAAUGAUAGGGUCAGACAAUGGACCUGCAUUUGUCUCUAAGGUAAGUCAGGAACUGGCAUCCAUACUUGGGGCUGAUUGGAAAUUACAUUGUGCAUACUGACCCCAAAGCUCAGGACAGGUAGAGAGAAUGAACAGAACAUUAAAGGAGACCCUAACCAAAUUGACCAUGGAGACUGGCGUUAAUUGGGUGGUCCUUCUCCCCUACGCUCUGUUCAGGGUGCGUAAUUCCCCAUACAAACUGGGACUCACACCCUAUGAAAUAAUGCAUGGUAGACCACCCCCUGUCAUCCCUAACCUAAAAGAUAACCUUGUCAAAGCUGAGAAUGAUAAUAGUCUUGAAUUCUGGUUCUCCCUACAAGCCUUGCAGAGGGUCCAUGAAGAUGUAUGGCCCAAAUUAAAGGAACUCUAUGAGACUGGACCCCCGCCUAUUCCACAUCAAUUCCGGCCAGGGGAUUGGGUCCUCGUCAAACGUCAUCGGCAGGAAAAGCUGGAACCCAGGUGGAAAGGACCCUUCCAGGUCAUCCUGACAACACCUACGGCCAUCAAAGUAGACAGAAUCGCCACCUGGAUUCAUUGCACCCACGCCAAGCCUGUACACCCAUUCUCAGACCUCAUCGGACCUCCAGCGAAAGGAACAACCUGGACAAUCAACUGGAGUAAGGACAAUCCCCUAAAAAUCACCCUGCGCCGCAAACCACCCAAGCCAUAGCCAUGAUAAUCAUUCUGUUCUUUGUAACCUCAUUUAUUUUACAAACCCCCUUUGUGAGCGGAGGCCUCGAACUUCCAGCUAAGGAGGCAAUACUACAUAACUUAUAUGGAAAACCAUGUGAAUGUAGAGGGGGAAAGUCUGAAUCCCCAGUAGUACCCAAGCGGUACACCUACACACAGGAUUGUGGAGAAACAACCGCCUAUUUAGUUCAGAAUUAUGGAGCAAUGGGGGCUCUCAAUCAUGGAAAUGUGUUCCUAAACCUAAAACUCUCCCCCCUAGCUCUAGAUGCCCCUGUAGCACUUACCAAGACUCCAUGCACAGUGCUUGCUAUACUGCUGUCUAGAAGUGUAUAGGACAGGAUAACAAAACCUGCUUCACCGCAGUAUUGCAGCAUGCCAGGACUGCCGCGGUAACAGGAGAAAAUAAAUAUAUGCAGGCAGGGUGCCGGGGCACAGUAGGAACUCAUGUGUGCUGGAAUACCAAAGCCCCGGUACACGUUUCAGACGGGGGUAGGCCCCAAGAUACGGUCCGACAAAUUGAAACCUGGAAGAAACUUGAAAAAAAUAUUUCAGGGGAUGUAUCCCCAACUUAAUUACCACCCACUAAUUCUGCCUGAAAAUAGCCAUUUCGACCUGGACCCUCAGACUAUGGAUAUAAUUAAGGCUACCUUUGCGCUCCUAAAUGCCUCCAACCCCGCUCUAGCCCAAGACUGCUGGCUAUGUCUCCCUCAGGGGCAGCCCAGACCUAUAGCAAUCCCUACCACCCUAAGCCUCGAUAGCACUGAUGACUGUCAUCCCUUUAACCCCGUCGACCCCUUCCCCAUGCAAUCUCUCAUUGUAUUCAAUAUCUCAUGUCUUGUUAAAAAUCACACAGACGCUAACGACAGUAUUGAUUUAGGGGAAGUCUCUUUUGCUAACUGUACCAACUAUACAGUAAUCAACUCCUCACUAUGUAGCUCCAACACCACUGUAUUUAUAUGUGGGGGCAAUCUCGCUCACACUUACCCCCAAAUUGGACAGGAAUCUGCGUCCCAGCAACCCUCCUUCCGGAUGUAGACCUGGUUCCAGGGGAUUCCCCGAUGCCUAUACCUAGCUUAGACUAUCUACCAGGGAGAGCCAAGAGAGCAGUGGCAGUCAUCCCCCUAUUAGUAGGGUUAGGAAUAACGGGAGCUGUAACAGCUGGAUUGGCGUGCUUAGGUGUAUCUGUCCACACAUACCAUCAACUUUCGCGACGGCUAAUAGAAGAUGUACAGGCCCUGUCUGGAACCAUCCAAGACUUACAGGAUCAACUUGAUUCCCUAGCUGAGGUAGUAUUACAGAAUAGAAGGGGACUAGACCUGUUAACUGCAGAGCAAGGUGGGAUAUGUUUAGCCCUCCAAGAAAAAUGUUGCUUUUGUGCUAACAAGUCAGGAAUAGUAAGAACGAAAAUCAAACAACUCCAAGAUUUAGCCCGCCGUCGGAAAGAAUUAGCUGACAACCCUUUAUGGUUCGGACUCAACGGCUUCCUCCCAUACCUCCUCCCCCUCUUAGGGCCAUUGCUAAGCUUGCUACUUCUCCUCACAAUAGGGCCAUGUAUCAUAAACAAAAUGUUAGCUUUUAUCAAAGAAAGAGUCAAUACUAUUCAACCGAUGGUCCUCAGAACCCAAUACCAACCUAUCGUUAAUGAAACAUUUGAGUCAAACACAUAAGAUCCAAGAUUGGCUCUUAAGGCACCAAAGAAAGGGGGGAAUGAGAGACUAAGAGAAAAGUUACCAGGGGUACCCACAACCGCAAAGACAAGACCCCCGCCGGUCCCAGAACCAGCCAGGGCGUGCCUGGUUGUGGUUUGACCUAAAGGCGGGAACCAGUCAAGUUUUGCUGAGUGUUCAAAUUUAAAUAUCAACCAAUAACAGCUCCGUAACCGUGGAAGAUCCCUGACUUCCCCAUAACUUGUUUGUGCCUGUCUAUAAAAAGGCUGUAAAAACCUCGCUCGGGGCCUCUUAGCGUCACUGACAACGAGUGCGCGGAGGUCCGGGUUCAAACCUGCAAUAAACGGCCCUUGCCGCUUGGCUUUGACUCUGGACUCUGGUGGUUUGUUCUUGGGGGUCACCCGAAUUUGGGCAUAUCAUGGGCUGGGUAACACCUAGGGGUGUUGUGAGGAGGACGUGAGCUAGUGCUUUUGAAACCGAGGCGUUUGCUUCAUAAUAAUGGCAACUCUCCUUACUCUCCUAACACAAGCUGACUGGCUCCUGGUGUCCCACUGGCUCCAGGAAGCUCCACAGCUGGAGAUGGUGUGGCCCUUGAUCUCUGACCCCUCCCCCAUGCGGUCUCUAGUUAGGGAUUACUUUGAUGAACCAUUUGGGUCCCAGGUGCCACUGAUCUGCACCACUCCCCCAUCUGGGCUGAAGUUUGGCUUCCUUGGGGUCGGCCCUGCCCACUCACUGUAAGGCUAAACUGAGGUUUUAGGGGAGCCGGUAGGGCUUGACCUGGAGAUUUUGAGAGCAUCUUGGCGCUCCGUCAAGAGAGGCUUUAAGUCAGGCGGCUGUGCUGGUGACCUUGGGCGAGUCUCCUGUGUGAAAUGAUAAUAAAAGCCUGCUGGAAACGGGAAUGGGGGGAAUUAAGUGUGACUAAGGGGGCUUGGCCUCACGUUCUGACUUCACACUAGCUGGCCUCCAUUCCCUUUUGGCUGCAAGGAGUGGGGGCUGGGCCGGCUGUGAGCUCCUCCCCCACUGACCCACCCCUGAAGCACGUGGCACUGCCUCAGGGCCAAGGGGAAGACUGGCUUUCCGUAGGCAGGGAGCCCGCUCCGUUUUUCCUCCGUGUGGUUGGAGUCCGAGCGGUGGCCUGCCCCCAGCUUCACAGGCUGUUCAAUGGUCAGGUCAUGAUUUAGGGUCACUCCCCCCAAACCCAGAGAUAAGUGACUCACCCAAGGUCACGAGGCCACCACUGGCAGCCAGUAUGGGCUUCCAGGUGUCCUGACUUCAGCCUCUCGCCUGUGUCCAUGGCACCCCCACCCCAGCUGUCUGGGUUAUUUCGGGCUCCCUCCCGUGCCAGCUGUCUGCUUGAAAGUAACCAGCAUGGGGCUCUUGGCCCUUUCUGGGCCCCUUCCCUUGGCCUCAUGAGGGUCUCCAGUCCCAGAUAAGUUGGGUUUGGUCCAUCUUGUCCUUUGGUGGGGAAAGGAGGUUCACUCCACUGUCCCUAGCACCAGAGCCCCCUUCCCCCUAUCCAGGGUGAGGGGAGAGGGGGAAGCACUUGGUAGAAGUUGAGGAGGCUCACGUUUUUAUCCCAUGGGCCUGUUCCUCUCUGGCCCCAAACACGAGGUUUAAACUCGGUUGUCAUUGAAUUGCUCAUUGAACCCCUUUGAUCCUCGCGAGACUGGCUCGCUGCCUAAGGGUGUCCUGCAUCCCUUUGGAUAGAGUCCUUAGGGCUCCCGGAUACAGGGGUCUUUAUAUCCCAAGGGCGUCGGAUGAUUAAAUAAUUGACUUAAACUUCGCCCCCCAGCCACAGCCUGAAGGGCUGAAGCCAGCUCCUCCAGUCCCGCCCUUGGAACAAUUAGGGAGCAAUUAGGUGCUAAACUGUGGUCUGGGUGUGAUUCUCAGAAGGGUGAGGUGUCCCUGUGACCUGUAAGAGUCAUACCCCCUCCCCACUACCAUUUCUUCUUCACUUCUUUCUACUUUCUUUGUCCCCUACCCCCACCCCUGCCACCUCCUGGGGGCAGGGAGAGACUGAGCAGCCCGUCUGUCCUCUGGCUGUAGUUCCUCCGGGCUUAGAGGUUGGCCCCGCCCCCGGUCACCAAGCGAGCUCGGGGCGGGGCUGCUCCUGGGGCCAAUCCGGUGGGGCCAGCCUGGAGAGAGCCACGCCGGCGGAAAGGCGGCCCAAGGCUGGGAGGUGGCUGGACCUGCCUCGCUACUGGACACUAGGGUCCCUCCUCUUCCGGCCCAUCCGCCGGAGCCCCAGCCUGGAAUACGACCUUUUGGACCCUCUGGGUGGAGACUGCCUCUGCCUGGACUGUGGAAAGAGGCACCCCGCCAUCUUGGAGGCUGCCUGGAUCCAGCGCGAUCUCCAACUGGCCAGUGACCUCAGCAAGUCCCCGCCCCACUGGGAGCUGAGGGCGCCCCGUGUGAACCUGGAGGAGGAAGGUGGAUGAUGGCUUUUUGAGAUGUUUUUAAUUCUGGCUUUGUGAGGGGAGCUUUUUGUGUUCCAGUGUGACCUCCCCACCAGCGCCACCAAGUGCUGCGACCUGGACAGAGUCCUGGGCUCCCAGGCCAUUCCUGGCCACCUCCCAUCUCUGGGACGUCAAAGAAUAGCUCAGUUUUUUCUGCCUCAUCUGGGGUGGAUGACCCUUCGGGUGUGAGGUGAACUCUCAGGAUGUGCAGAAGUCCCAGGGAAGUGGAGGCUGUAAGAAUUGUCAUUAACUUCCCCAUCCUGUCCUGUGCUGGCUCGACUUUGCCCUGACAAGACAAGUGGAUCUGGCCCUUAUUCUCUCCUGAGCUCAGCCAGCCUGCUCCCCUAGCUUCUGUUCUGUGCCCAUCAGCUCUAUGGCAAGAACCAACUUAAAGAACCUUUCUUGCUCUCCUAAACCUCUCCAGGAAUUCCCGGUGAAUAGAAGGUGAAUGACUUGGGCCCCUCAGAACAUGUCACAGGUAAGGGAGCAGGGUUCCCCCAUGCGAGUGCGCCUGCCCAGCUCCUCAGCUGGCCGGGUCUGGCCCAGCUGCCUCUGAGGAAGCUCUCGGCAGCUGGCCUGGCUCCUGGGUAUUUUUAGGUACAGAUCCAGCCCCUACACCACCACUGGAGCUGGGUCCAGCUGAAACACACUACAGGCUGGGUGGGGCUGGGGUGCUGCCAGCCCCUUGGCCAGGCAGGGGCUGGGCAGGCGGUCUGGGGCCAGCGUCAGCUGUUGUGCCUUGCUGCAGGCUGGCCCAGGAAGUCUCGCUCUUCCUCUCCUCCUCCCCCUGCCCCUCUGUAUUGUGGAAGCCAUUUGAUCUGCCUCAGUUGGGACUGUAGCCCUGUUUCUCAGGUGGAGAAAAUAGAAACCGAGGUCUGAGGAUUUUGAGGAAAGUCAGGAGGUGUGAUUAACUCCCAGGUGACAGUUUGCUCAGAGUGGGAUGACCCUCCUAAGCGCAUUCUGCCCCUAGCCCCUUCUCUCCUUCCCUUCCUGUCUCUCCCCAGGUUUCAGGGGCCCUGAUUCAGGGUCAGGUCCAGGGCUGGCUGCAAAGGUAAGUGGUCUUCCCCUCACUCAAAGGCUCCUUCCAGCCUCCGUCUCCCCGAGUGAUAGUAACCUGGUCCUUUCCUGCCAGCCUCAAGCUGCCACUGUGGAAAGAUGACCCCCAGUCCUGCCUCACCAGCCAAUCCCAGCUCCUCCCUGGUCACCAGAGAGAGCUUGAGGGCCUGGCUUUGGCUGGGCUCCUGUUCUGUUCAGGAGUCUCCUGUCUGACACCCCCCCCCCCCCCCCGCCCCUUGAGCCUGGCAGCAAGGCCCUCCAUGAUCUAACCCCGGUUACCUCGACAACCAUGUCUGGCCUCCCUCCUCACUCCCCAGGCACUGCAGAAUCUGAUGGGGUUUUCCAGCCACCGUUCAUUUGUCCACGGUACCCAUCUUGCUCCUGUUGGUCUGCCCUCCCAACACUGCCAAGCUUAGGCUCAGCCUUCGCUGAGCCCUACAGGGGUCUGGUCUCUAAAGCGUUGACAUCUCCCAGACCCCUUAAAGAGACUGCUUCCCCUAAGACAGCUCCCUCCAGGCAGGAACACAAUUGCCUCUCAAUAAACUUGCAUGGUAAAAAAGGAAUGAAUGAGUUGCUGUAAAUUUGUGUGUGGGGGGGGGGGGAAGGGGGGUGCUUGACCUAGCAGGUGGCUCUCUGACCGGCUGCCUAAAGCUUGGGACUUUCACAUAAUAGCGUGGAACUAGGGGGGGCCUUACCUCCUUUUCCCAGCUAUAGGCUUUUUUUGUAAGCUCUCACGAGCGGCCGCUGCUCCCCUCUGGUGGUCAGACCUGCCUUGCAUCCUCUGAGAACGGACGGGGCACUUAACAAAAUUGCCAGGUUGGCAAUUUCCUCCCUGAAGUAAAAUUUACUUGGUCUUUACUGAGAACUUGGAAAUUCAGAAUCUUCCCGGGGAUGCGGUGGGGGUGGGGCAAGAAGAUCCUGAGUCCUGCCUAGCCCUCUCUGAGGAACCUACCAGAGAUCCUACCCCAGCUGGUUGGACCCCUCUCCCUCACUUAGCCAUGCUUCAAUGCCUGCUUGCCGCACUCGGGCUCCAGGGGUCUCCUGCCUCUCCUGACCACUAGCCUGGCUUUUGCGAAGGACUGUUGCAGGGAGGGAAGGGUUGGGUGCUCUCAACCAGCAGCCCCCGUGUUAUCCUGCACAUAGUGCUUAAUAAAUAGUUGUUUUAAUCAAGGGGCGUGGGAGGAUUGAUGAGACUGCCUGGCUUGUGGCCUGAAGAUAUGUGGCUAAUGGCUGGAGAGCGCUUAAUCAAAUCAAAUUUAAGGGUGGGGUGGAAGUUAUCAAUGGGCCCAGCUUCUCACAACUAGAUCUGUCCUAGCUUUCCCCAUCCCUUCCUCGACGGUGUCUUCCUCGGUUCACGCCUCUGGCCCCUGCUAGAAAGAGGCUUCCGCCCGCGUGGUUUGGGGCCAACCCCCAAAGGAAAUUGUUCCCGGAGUUCACCUGCCUUCCAAGCCGUCCGCCCCAAGAUGACUGCCCGCCAGAGGGCGCCAGACGCCCACCUUGCGCUCUUAGGGAAGUGGGAGGGGUAGGUGAGGGGAACCGCUCUUCCCCACCCCCAACCUGCACCCACACUGGCGCCCGUAGGGCUGGGCUAGGUGGGCAGGCACGCCCCCUGUGCUAGCAUCUUUCCUGGCUCGACCAACCUACCUAGUGGGGAAACUGAGGUCGGAAGCCGACUUGCCCCAGGCCACACAGCUGGGGCGGGGCAAAGCGAGGGGGCUUUUCCCAGAGCUGGAGACCCAGUCUCCUGAACUCUGGUGCUGGGGCAACGGUCCGCCAAUCAAAGAGUCUCUGUCAGAUGGGGGAGGCCGAGUCGACCAAUCAGAGGGGCCCUGCCAGAAGGCGGAGCCUGCCAAUCAGGGGUGCCCAGCGAGGUACCGCGGAAACCAUCGAAUCUUGCCGGUGGGGGGCGCGCCGUGACGUGCAGGGGAGCGAGUGGGAGCCGCGCUUCAGGCUGAGCUCCUGUUUCUCAGCUGCCUCAGUUUCUCUGGGAAUGACAGGUGAACGCACCGGGCUAGGACCCUAAAGAGAAGGAAAACGAGUUGGGAGGUGGGCCCGGGUGGCUGCCUGGCGGAGGCGAUGCCUGCACAAAGUGGGAGGGGCUUCUCUAGCUCCGCCCCUGGAUCCCGCCCCCGCCCCCGAUCUCUCAGCCCCAGCGGUCUGUCCCGCGCGCUGUUGCCAGUGCCGCCGGCUCCCGGCUAUGGACGCCCCGGGGGCCCCGGGCCCGGACCCGGGCAGGAAGGAGCUGAAGAUUGUGAUCGUGGGUGACGGCGGCUGCGGCAAGACAUCAUUGCUCAUGGUGUACAGCCAGGGCUCCUUCCCUGAGGGCAGGAAGAUUAUGACCGGCUGCGACCCCUGUCCUACCAGAACACCCACCUCGUGCUCAUCUGCUAUGACGUCAUGAACCCCACCAGCUAUGAAAACGUCCUCAUCAAGUGGUUCCCUGAGGUCACACAU